rnacentral:lncRNA from 1 species
GCUUUUCCGUUUGUAUGCUAUCCUGCGUUGAGCAUGCGUUUUUCAACUUCCCACUUACGAAUUCACUGGAUGACGGGGGUAUUGUAAGCUUAUUCACUUUCUUGACAAAAUAAUGGUGUCUGAGGUACGUUUACUGUACAUAUACUGUAUUUUAUUAUUUAUUCGUUCGUAUGUGGGAAAGAGAAAUAUUAUGUUUUACAGACACGGUGGGGAGUUAGGUGAAGAAAGAAAAUGAUGCGAGUACGGGAAAAUUUGUAUGAAGGUUGAAAGGUAUGGUAGUAGACAGGAUACAUAAAGUCACAAUAUUUCAUGUUUUAAAUUUUAUUUCAAUUUAUUAAUAACCAAAAUAUUACAGACAUGGAUUUCGUAAUAGCAAUUUUUUCUGCAAGCCCCUUAAAACAUCAUUACAAGUUUCCUGACUUUGAGUAACUUUACCAAACCAAAAUAUAACAAUAUGCGUGAUCUACAUUAUGUUAUACUCGCUACCUUAUUUCGGCGAUCUCACGACCAAAAGACGCAAAAUUUAAUAUCUCUUUAUUUUCUUUCUUAAAAAAAAUAAAGAGAUAUUGUAGCAAUGCGACCACUUACGGACUGAUAUGAUAUAGGAUUUUUCAUACAAGACUCGCAAAUGGAUGAGUAUAUAAAUACAAAUUAUGUUAAAUCAUUGCUUCUAACAACCCAAACUAAUCGAACCGUUGGUGAAUGAUGCAUUUAAAUUGCUAUGAGGACCUGCUUGAAACUAAGUUUCGAGGCGCUGAUAACAAAUAUCUAUCAACUUUAGGUAUAAAAAUGUUGAAGUACGAAAACUUCUUAGGUAUUAUUCAGAUUUAACUGCUAAAGAAUAAUUUUUGCAAAUCUUUAUGGAUAUCAGCAAAGGUUUCGAAUUCAGAGAAAGAAAUUUUCUCCCUUUCACAAUAUUUAAUUAAAUCACGUCCUUUCUUGGCAAACAAGUGUUCUGUUUCCUUCGCAGCACUCAAAUCGGAAACACCAUCUCCGCAAUAGACCAUGUGAGGACGUUUACUUUCUGGCAAUUGAGCAUACGGACGGAUAGUAAGGCUUUUGUCGUGUCCAAAAUGACUGUCAUCAUGAUACACAAUGUUCCAUUGACCAUCAGGAUGCACAUUGAUGUCAUUAGAAACAAUUUCAAUACUACUUGCUUCUUCUUUGCCAAGGUAUUGCUCAAAAAGUGCACGAAUAAAAGGCUCCAUACCACUUGAAAGGAUGAUUACACGAAUGUCUUGAGACUUACACCAUUCAUAGAAUGGUUUAAAUGAUGGAUCAAUGGCGACAUUCUUCUUGAGAACCUCCAAAGCUUCAUCAUAGCUUAAAUGCACUGAAUCCAACAUCUUCGCGAAAGCAUCACUAUGAAUUGUUAAGAGUUGAUUUACGCGUCAAACGCUUACCGAAAAGAAAUGGAACCGUCAAGAACUUGUUGAUUUAGAUUCACACGGUUGGCGUUGCCCAUUCCAAAGUUGUCUAAAACAUAGUUAGUAAACCGUCGCCGUCGAGUGUUGCAGUAAUAAAGCAUUCAAGGUGGGCAGGGAAAUUUUUGACCCAAUGUUAUAAAAUCAUAGAUUUCUCUUACAGAUUUUCGUAAAUCUUCAAUAAAUAUUCAGUUAAGCUUAAUUGUAAGAACAUUUUCU